rnacentral:rRNA from 1 species
UACGAAGGGGGCUAGCGUUGUUCGGAAUUACUGGGCGUAAAGCGCACGUAGGCGGAUUGUUAAGUCAGAGGUGAAAUCCCGGAGCUCAACUUCGGAACUGCCUUUGAUACUGGCAAUCUAGAGUCCGGAAGAGGUUAGUGGAAUUCCCAGUGUAGAGGUGAAAUUCGUAGAUAUUGGGAAGAACACCAGUGGCGAAGGCGACUAACUGGUCCGGUACUGACGCUGAGGUGCGAAAGCGUGGGGAGCAAACAGG